rnacentral:rRNA from 1 species
AUUGAACGCUGGCGGCAUGCCUUACACAUGCAAGUCGAACGGUAGCGGGCCUUCGGGUGCCGACGAGUGGCGAACGGGUGAGUAAUGUAUCGGAACGUACCUUUCAGUGGGGGAUAACGUAGCGAAAGUUACGCUAAUACCGCAUAUUCUGUGAGCAGGAAAGCAGGGGAUCGCAAGACCUUGCGCUGAUUGAGCGGCCGAUAUCAGAUUAGCUAGUUGGUGAGGUAAAAGCUCACCAAGGCGACGAUCUGUAGCGGGUCUGAGAGGAUGAUCCGCCACACUGGAACUGAGACACGGUCCAGACUCCUACGGGAGGCAGCAGUGGGGAAUUUUGGACAAUGGGGGAAACCCUGAUCCAGCCAUGCCGCGUGAGUGAAGAAGGUCUUCGGGUUGUAAAGCUCUUUCGGCCGGGAAGAAAUCGUAUCAGCUAAUACCUGGUGCGGAUGACGGUACCGGCAUAAGAAGCACCGGCUAACUACGUGCCAGCCGCCGCCGUAACAC